rnacentral:rRNA from 1 species
AUCACCUACGGGGGGCAGCAGUGAGGAAUAUUGGUCAAUGGCCGGGAGGCUGAACCAGCCAAGUCGCGUGAGGGAAGACGGCCCUACGGGUUGUAAACCUCUUUUGUCAGGGAGCAAGGUGCAGGUCGGGACCUGCUGUGAGAGUACCUGAAGAAAAAGCAUCGGCUAACUCCGUGCCAGCAGCCGCGGUAAUACGGAGGAUGCGAGCGUUAUCCGGAUUUAUUGGGUUUAAAGGGUGCGUAGGCGGGCCUUCAGGCCGGCGGUAAAAUUGCGGGGCUCCACCCCGCCGAGCCGUCCGCACCGGG